rnacentral:rRNA from 1 species
AUUGAACGCUGGCGGCAGGCCUAACACAUGCAAGUCGAACGGUAACAGGAAGCAGCUUGCUGCUUUGCUGACGAGUGGCGGACGGGUGAGUAAUGUCUGGGAAACUGCCCGAUGGAGGGGGAUAACUACUGGAAACGGUAGCUAAUACCGCAUAAUGUCGCAAGACCAAAGAGGGGGACCUUCGGGCCUCUUGCCAUCGGAUGUGCCCAGAUGGGAUUAGCUUGUUGGUGAGGUAACGGCUCACCAAGGCGACGAUCCCUAGCUGGUCUGAGAGGAUGACCAGCCACACUGGAACUGAGACACGGUCCAGACUCCUACGGGAGGCAGCAGUGGGGAAUAUUGCACAAUGGGCGCAAGCCUGAUGCAGCCAUGCCGCGUGUAUGAAGAAGGCCUUCGGGUCGUAAAGUACUUUCAGCGGGGAGGAAGGGGGUAAGGUUAAUAACCUUAGCCAUUGACGUUACCCGCAGAAGAAGCACCGGCUAACUCCGUGCCAGCAGCCGCGGUAAUACGGAGGGUGCAAGCGUUAAUCGGAAUUACUGGGCGUAAAGCGCACGCAGGCGGUCUGUCAAGUCGGAUGUGAAAUCCCCGGGCUCAACCUGGGAACUGCAUUCGAAACUGGCAGGCUUGAGUCUCGUAGAGGGGGGUAGAAUUCCAGGUGUAGCGGUGAAAUGCGUAGAGAUCUGGAGGAAUACCGGUGGCGAAGGCGGCCCCCUGGACGAAGACUGACGCUCAGGUGCGAAAGCGUGGGGAGCAAACAGGAUUAGAUACCCUGGUAGUCCACGCCGUAAACGAUGUCUAUUUGGAGGUUGUGCCCUUGAGGCGUGGCUUCCGGAGCUAACGCGUUAAAUAGACCGCCUGGGGAGUACGGCCGCAAGGUUAAAACUCAAAUGAAUUGACGGGGGCCCGCACAAGCGGUGGAGCAUGUGGUUUAAUUCGAUGCAACGCGAAGAACCUUACCUGGUCUUGACAUCCACAGAAUUUCUCAGAGAUGAGGAAGUGCCUUCGGGAACUGUGAGACAGGUGCUGCAUGGCUGUCGUCAGCUCGUGUUGUGAAAUGUUGGGUUAAGUCCCGCAACGAGCGCAACCCUUAUCCUUUGUUGCCAGCGAUUCGGUCGGGAACUCAAAGGAGACUGCCAGUGAUAAACUGGAGGAAGGUGGGGAUGACGUCAAGUCAUCAUGGCCCUUACGACCAGGGCUACACACGUGCUACAAUGGCAUAUACAAAGAGAAGCGACCUCGCGAGAGCAAGCGGACCUCAUAAAGUAUGUCGUAGUCCGGAUUGGAGUCUGCAACUCGACUCCAUGAAGUCGGAAUCGCUAGUAAUCGUGGAUCAGAAUGCCACGGUGAAUACGUUCCCGGGCCUUGUACACACCGCCCGUCACACCAUGGGAGUGGGUUGCAAAAGAAGUAGGUAGCUUAACCUUCGGGAGGGCGCUUACCACUUUGUGAUUCAUGACUGGGGUGA